GCACGCUUGUUGAAUCACUCCUUCCAUCUAUCCUGUUUCAGCUCUCUGUCCAUCCGUCCCCACCUCCCCCUUGGUGGUGGUGUGUCGGCUGCAGGGACAGCCCCCGUGCUCUGACACACUUUGCACACCUCCGCMAUGUGUCACUACCCAUUCCACCUGCCUUUUCCUGUCAUUCCCCGCUCAUCGCUCCCUCUAGCUACACUUGCUGCUUCCCUCCCCCACUUUAUCCUUUAUUUAUUAAUUUUUUUGGGUUUGCUUUCAGACCUUCUCUGCACUCCUCCAUGUCCUCAAUCCCCCCCACGCUGUGUGUCACCGCUGCCGGGAAGAAAGAAAAAUGCUCUUGUCGACAAGUGAAAAGAAGAGUCCAACAAGAGAAGAUAGCAAGAAGCACUGCGAUGUCUCUUUCUGCAACAAGCCAGGCUCUUCUUUGAUGGAAUAUCCCGGAGAGCAGAGAAGAGAAAGAGGGAGAAGAAGGAGAAGAAGAGAACAAGGGGGUAGAAGAUUAARGGGGUUGAGGAAACAGGACAGGCAGUGAUUGCCUCAAGAGGCUCCAUCCAUUCCAAUCUCAUUGUCCUCACACACACAGUUUGCUGUGGAGCCCGCACGUGUGUGGGCACUUUCAAGUGUAUGAGUCGGAGCACACAUUCAGACGUUUCCACGCAGCAGCAGGUCCCACUCUGAGGUCCUGUGGUCUCUGGCAACGGCAUCAGCCCAGAUCCAGGCAAGACAGAGGCUGUGAAGAGGAUGAAAGAGCCGACAACAGUGAGUGAAGUAAGAUCCUUUCUGGGGAUGGUAAAUCAGAUGGGCAAGUUUAUUCCAUAGCUGGCAGAGAGAGACAAACCCCUGCGUGAUCUGUUGAAAAAGAACUGCUGGAUGUGUGGUGUCAAGCAGGCAAAAGCUUUUCAAGUUCUGAAGGAGGCACUGUCAUCGCCACCAGUUCUAGCUAUGUAUGAUCUUAAAAGGGACUGUUAAAGGGAGGGUCUCAGCAGAUGCAUCAUUAUAUGGGGAGGAGUGCUGCUUCAAAAAUGGGGUGAGGAGUGGAUGCCGAUAGCCUAUAUAUCGCGGUCUCUCACACCAACUGAGCAAAGACACGCACAGGUGGAGAAGGAGGAACUGGGUCUGACCUGGGCCUGCAAGAAGUUCCAAAACUUCCUGAUUGGGAAACACUUCCAGCUGGAGAUGGAUCACAAGCCUCUUUUAAGUCUCCUGGGGUCACAACCACUGGAUUCCKUACCUCCUCGAAUCCAACACUUCAGAAUGRGUCUCAUUCGCUAUUCUUAUUCUAUAGCACAUGUGGCAGGGAAAUGUCUGGACAGUAGAUACUCUGUCACGAGCACCAGUUGAAAGAGGUGAAACACCCACAGACAAAGAGCUGUUUGAAGACACAAACAUCUACAUAGACAUGGUAAUGAUCAAUCUACUUGUGAGUACUGCCUAUUUGGAGGAACUGAAGGACCAGCUGCAGAGGGACAGUGUGUGUGUGRGCAUGACGAAGCUGUGCAAAGAAGGCUUGCCUACGAACAACAAUAAAGAACCAGUACUAAAGUCAUACUGGGCUGAAUGAUCUCUUAUUACAGUUCAGGAUGGUCUACUACUAAAGGGACAAAGACUCAUUAUUCCUWCUGCAAUGAGAAAUGAUUUUCUUGCAAAGUUGCAUGAAGGACAUCAAGGUGUGGUCAAGUGUUGGGACGGGCACGGCAGUUUGUGGGGUGGCCAGGCCUCAUCCAGAAACUGAAAGUUGGUUCUUAACUACAGGGCAUGCUGCCAGGAGAGACAGAACCACAGGGAGCCCCUGAAMACAACACCAUUUCUGGGGUGACCAUGGAAAAAGUGCGGAACGGAUAUGUUUAUGCUAGGGAGCAAGACAAGGUUUGUUUACACUUCAUGCAAGAUGUGCGGCUGCGGCCUAGCGAGGAUGUAAUUGCGUGUAUGUCACCGACAGCACACAGUGUUUAUAAGACGU